GUCACUGUAUAGCCUUGGAGUGUGUGUAAUAACUUAGAGCUUCAAGUCAACUUUCUUCCUCACCAGUUUACUUCUGCCAACUUAUGGAAAGUUGGAUAUUUUAAACGUUUAUACAAACUGAAAACUGAAGAAAGGGACAAGAACAUUCAUAUCAAGUGAUUAAAAAGCUGAACAUCAUGGGGUCCAGGUCUUUGAACUCAGGAAUCUUCCUGCAGUGUGGUAUAAGACUCUUCAUCUCAGCUCAGG
rnacentral:lncRNA from 1 species